rnacentral:misc_RNA from 1 species
UUAAGUUGCCCAACGCGCGAGGGAACCUGUAAUUAUAAAAUAUUCUUAUUCCGGUGAGGUGCAGUAUCAAUCCGCAACCAAACACACGACCUUCACUAUCUCUUCUGACGGAAGGAAGAGGAGCUUUUCCUCGAUCCCUUGCUAUCUUCCCGUUUCCUCCUUGAGGAGGUAAUUCUCUUCUUCUAGCAGAAACGCUCUUUCUCUUUCUCUUUCUCUCACAAUGACUAACUUGAAAACUGAUUCCCCUCUCUCCCGUCGCAUCGUUCGCGCCUUCCUCGAUUUCCUCGACUCCGUUGAACCUGCUCCUGGGGUUGAUAUUGAAGGUCUGGAGGUUGCUAGGGAAUGUUUGACUGAAGUUUUUAAGCUUGAUUCAACUUCCAAUAAUGAUUGCAUAAAUCCUGGUUUGUUGGUCGACUUAUUUCGUUCAAUCGAGGCAAAUGAGGCUCAGAAGAUCAAAACAGAUUUGAGUCAUGGAGCUACUCCAGCGGAUACUUCUAGUACAUCCCAUGUCCAGCAGAAUGCUGUUGAUGCUAAUCACUCAGAGACAUCUGGGACUCAGGUUGAUGAUUGGACUCAACCAUCUCAUGCAAUGGGGGUAUCCAAAGAUGAACUCUUUGGGCAGUUCUUUGCUGCCCUUGAGAAAAGUCACUUUUUUUAAGACAACGGCUGAUGGGAACGAUGAUCCUGUCCAACUGGAUAAAGCAACGCGUUUAUUUCAUGAUGCUCUAAAUGUAAUUUAGAUUUGUCGAUGCCCAUGUAUGCUAGGUGCAUUAAAAAAAUAAUCUUUGAUUUUUUAUUCAAUAUUAUUUGUGAGUUCGUUGAUACUAUUGCAUUAUAGGGCAUUUGAUUUAGUCCAAAGAUUGAUAUGUUACAAGAUGUCAACCUGUCCUUUCCUUAUUCCAUUGUAAAGCUUGAUUGAUAAAAAAUAUGAUCUGCCAUAUCAGGAGAUGGAAAAAGCUGGAUGCCAAUCAUUUAACCGGAAUAGCUUGGCAGAGACAUUCAAGUCACAAGGUGCAUUUGAGUUUGUAUGCCUUUAUGCAGCAGAUGCUUUUGAUUUAUAACUUCUGGACAAAUUGUAUGUUAUGAAUAUCUCUAAGCAAGGUUUAUGGCAUCAGAAUAUCUCUUAAAAUGCGUCUACAUUUCAUUCUUUGUCUUACUAAGAGUUUAUGUUUAGCAACACCAAUGAGGAAGACAGAGAUAGAGAGGGUUGCCUUGUCUUGCAUCAAUACAGUUUAAUCAAGCUGAUUGUAUUAUGCUAUGUUGUCUUCAAUUUUUGGCUGAUUAUAUUAUGUAAUAUUGUCUUUGCUUUUAGGUAACAGGGCUAUACAGUCAAAGCUGUACUCUGAUGCAAUUGAAUUGUAUUCUUGUGCCAUUUCGCUUUGUGAAAAUAAUGCUGUAUACCACUGUAACAGGGCAGCUGCAUAUACUCAGAUCCACGAAUAUAAUGAAGCAAUCAGAGACUGUCUUGAAUCCAUUGAAAUUGACCCGAAUUACAGCAAGGCAUACAGUCGUCUUGGACUAGCAUAUUAUGCACAAGGGAACUACAGAGAUGCUAUUGACAAAGGAUUUAGGAAAGGUUGGUGUAACUUUGAUUCUUAAAUAUCCUUAGUAUUGCUCAUAUAAUCUAAUGUAAUUGAAUCAUUAUGCCAUGACUGCAAGCUCUAAUUCUUUGUUAUGCAUUCUGUAGGUUAUUGUUUUACUGGGUGUGAUGUGGAUUAAAUCUACAUUUGUAAUUUUAUAAUUGCUUUGCUAGUUUUACUAAGUUUACGUUUUGCUAAAGUAGAUUCAAUUCACUUUGAUGCAUUCUGAUUUUUACUCUAUUGCCUGAUAGGGAUAGGCUAGUUCUUUAAUAUUUUGCAGUACCAAUGUUUUCCUUCAGACGUGAAAAUAUUGGAUUUUAGUUAGCUAAAUGCAAUCUGGUGCUGUAAAGUAUAUAGAGCAUUUGUUGCUUAUGGUAUAGUAAUUGCAAUUGCAGCUGAAAGAUAAACAUAAUUUGCCAGAGGUCCUAUAGUUGCCUUUUCCAUCUUGUAUGACUGGUAAUAGCAUAUCAGCUGAGAUUUUUAAUCUAUUAGUCAUUGUUUUGAUGUCUAGACUUUAUAUCUAAUAAAUAACAUUGUGCAAAAUGAAAGUUAAAGCAAAGAUGGACAAUGAGCAUACCUUGUGCCGCUGAUAUUUGGAUGUCAUUUGAAGUUAUGAUAACAGAAUGAUGUAAUGGCAGUUGUUCCUAAGCCGUUGUAUUAUAGUGGCUUUGGGGAUUUUGUUAUGCUUUAUAUCAUUAGAAUAUGGUGCUAUGUUAUUAGACUCAUGAUUCGAUUAAGGUAUGUUGUUGAAGUUCAGUACUUGUAACUUUCCCAUGCAAUACAGUAAAUAAUCUGAUAUCUCAUUUCAUAUAUUCUUCUCUUCAGCAUUACAGCUAGAUCCUCAAAAUGAAUCUGUCAAAGAAAAUAUUCGGGUUUGUUUCUUUGCUUCUUUAUUUUCGUCUCCUCUUCCUCCUAUUUUUUAAUUAUUUAUGUCACUUAUUGCUCUUGAAACAAAGGUAGCUGAGCAAAAACUGAAAGAAGAGCAGCAAUGGACAGAAAGGGAUCAGGUAAUAUUUUUCCUUCCCAUUUGAGAAUUGACUUGUUCAGUCAACAUAACAGAAGAGCAGUUCUUUAAUGAUUAAAUAGAAGGGUCAAUACUAGCUCAUAGCAGUAGCAUACACUAAUAGGUAAAAGAAUUUGUAGUUACAUGUUAAAGAAGAACAAGAAGGUAAUCUCAAGCAUGGAUUUCAUUAUGGUAAUCUCUCACUUGUUGGUUAACUAUAGAGAGACCUUGGAAUUUUGAACCUUUUAUGUACUGUUUGAUUUUUGUGUAUAAAAAGAACUUUUAUCUUUCAUUAUUGAACUCAUUUAUUUUUCCUGUUUCCCUCAAAUCAUCGUCCUAUUCAUCAUGCUUUUGCUUCAUCUAGAAACCUUUUGUUAUCCUUCUCUUCGUAGAAUAUGAAUUCAUCCGGUCACGAUGAUCAAGGAUUUAAUAGCCAGAUACCUCCAUUUACAUCAAUGCCAUUCAACACCAAUGCCAUUCCUGUUGAUUUUGCAAAUAUGUUACGGAGCAUGGCUGCGCAAGUAUACCCGGGACAGCACCCUCAAGACAGACAAGGAGAAGAUAGGAAUGUUAAUGGAUCUGAUGAACCAGAAAUAAGAGUAGGUGGAAAUAUCAAUAUGAAUCUCGGAGAAAACAUUCCUGAACAGCUUAGUGGGGCUUUGAGAUCUAUGAUGGAAAUGUUCUCAGGGGCAGCACCAGCACCGGCACCAGCACCAGCAACCCAUGGAAAUCCUCAAGAUUCAAAUUCAACGAGUGGAAGAUCAACAAACUAAAUUCUUGCUACAGCAUUGUACCAUCAUCUUUCUUGUUUUGCAAAUAGCAACUGUUCUUGUUUUGCAAAUAGUCACUGUUCUUAACAUCAAGGGUAAAAUUUAUCAAACGUUUCAAGGAAGAGAAUGGUACAUAUAGUGGUUUCUUGUUGGAAUUUUUGGAAUCUAUAAGAAUGUGUGUUUUGUACGUGUUGUAGAAUGGUAUAUGUGAAUGAUGGUGUGUACCACGCAGAAGGUUUUUCAUACUUUUAAAUGGAUUUGUUGCAGUGGGACAAACUGACCACGUGAAAUAUGGACAUAUUCAUCACACAGUGGCGGACACCCGACAAUUUCAACAUCAGAAGUCAACAUCUGAUGUUG